CUCUUAUCUAGUGCAGGCUUUCAGGUUCAAGAUUUGAUUUUGAUUAUUCACAACUUGGGGAAAUACCUCUCCCGCAGGGAUGGCAAAACCACUAGACCACCGCAACACCAAGUCGUUCACUUUGUCGUCGCUCAGUGUCUAACUACGUGUUGGGGUCAGAUUCUGUUCCUCAUCUUUCACUGAAUACGUGUCAACUUUGAUCACCUCCAAACAAGCAUAUCACUGGAGACUACUAAUUGAUUGGAGACCACAGAUGGACUGAGGGACCACGGAACCCACUCUUAGGCGACUGAAGAAGGACAACCUUCUUGAAGGACAACCACCAGAUUGCACAAACCGGGAAACAAGGACCGAAUCUGACUCAAGAAGGGACUUUCUUGAUCUGAAAGGAGAUGUUAAAUAGGGCUAGAAAAGGAAACUUCCAUUGAAGAUGUUAAGGCUCAAUCCACACAGAAUUGGGAAACCAUUAGAAGCAGGAGGAUCUCUGAAAAUAUGGACCAUUCCCACAAAUUUGGCAGCAUUUUUCACUCCAUUAUUGUUUGAAAAUUUGCUCUCCCUUCCCCGUUCUUAUUCUCAAGCGUAAUGUGUUCUCUUUCUCCAUUAUAGUGAAACCCCCUAAACUCUACAGUGAAUGUAGCCUACAUCCACUACACUUUAGAGGUGAAUCAUUAUAAAUUUGUGUUUUCGUAUCUCUUUACAUGUUUUCCGUACCUUAUUUUAUCAUUCAUACUUCCGAUUGACUCAAGGUUAUCAACUGGCGACUCAAGACGAGAUCUGAUUUGGCCAAUGGUCCUUGAAACAAAUUGUUUGUGGAAUUCACCCUCUAUGCUACACACACAACACACAUAUUGAAACAGAAACUAAGGGACUUUUAUUGAUAAGGAAAAAUAUUGUACAAAAGAA